rnacentral:rRNA from 1 species
UACGUAGGGGCUAGCGUUAUCCGGAAUUACUGGGCGUAAAGGGUGCGUAGGCGGUCUUUCAAGCCAGAAGUGAAAGGCUACGGCUCAACCGUAGUAAGCUUUUGGUAACUGUAAGACUUGAGUGCAGGAGAGGAGAAUGGAAUUCCUAGUGUAGCGGUGAAAUGCGUAGAGAUUAGGAAGAACACCAGUGGCGAAGGCGAUUCUCUGGACUGUAACUGACGCUGAGGCUCGAAAGCGUGGGGAGCAAACAGGAUUAGAUACCCCCGUACGUCCCUGA